rnacentral:rRNA from 1 species
AGCGAACGCUGGCGGCAGGCCUAACACAUGCAAGUCGAACGAACCCUUCGGGGUUAGUGGCGGACGGGUGAGUAACACGUGGGAACGUGCCUUUAGGUUCGGAAUAACUCAGGGAAACUUGUGCUAAUACCGAAUGUGCCCUUCGGGGGAAGGAUUUAUCGCCUUUAGAGCGGCCCGCGUCUGAUUAGCUAGUUGGUGAGGUAAUGGCUCACCAAGGCUACGAUCAGUAGCUGGUCUGAGAGGAUGACCAGCCACAUUGGGACUGAGACACGGCCCAAACUCCUACGGGAGGCAGCAGUGGGGAAUCUUGCGCAAUGGGCGAAAGCCUGACGCAGCCAUGCCGCGUGGAUGAUGAAGGUCUUAGGAUUGUAAAAUCCUUUCACCGGUGAAGAUAAUGACUGUAGCCGGAGAAGAAGCCCCGGCUAACUUCGUGCCAGCCGCCGCAGUGACAC